rnacentral:hammerhead_ribozyme from 1 species
AUGCAGUUGACGAGUCCUGAAUAGGACGAAACGCGCGUCCUGAAU